rnacentral:rRNA from 2 species
UCGAAGCCUCACAAGCAGUGCGACCCGUGAAUUUGUUUAACUACUCAGGGAUGGCUAGAGGUGUUCGGCACCUCGGUCCCCCUCGUGUCGGGAUGUGCUCCACCUUGUGUGUUGUCUUCCUGGCCCAAUAACAAAACCCCGGCGCCGAACGCGCCAAGGAAAUUGAAAUCGUUUAGUGCGCCCCCGUCGGCCCGGAGACGGUGCCCGUGCGGGAGGCGUUGCGACACGCGAAUCCUAA